UGGGGAAUUUUGGACAAUGGGCGAAAGCCUGAUCCAGCAAUGCCGCGUGUGUGAAGAAGGCCUUCGGGUUGUAAAGCACUUUUGUCCGGAAAGAAAUCCUUGGCUCUAAUACAGUCGGGGGAUGACGGUACCGGAAGAAUAAGCACCGGCUAACUACGUGCCAGCAGCCGCGGUAAUACGUAGGGUGCAAGCGUUAAUCGGAAUUACUGGGCGUAAAGCGUGCGCAGGCGGUUUGCUAAGACCGAUGUGAAAUCCCCGGGCUCAACCUGGGAACUGCAUUGGUGACUGGCAGGCUAGAGUAUGGCAGAGGGGGGUAGAAUUCCACGUGUAGCAGUGAAAUGCGUAGAGAUGUGGAGGAAUACCGAUGGCGAAGGCAGCCCCCUGGGCCAAUACUGACGCUCAUGCACGAAAGCGUGGGGAGCAAACAGGAUUAGAUACCCUGGUAGUCCACGCCCUAAACGAUGUCAACUAGUUGUUGGGGGAUUCAUUUCCUUAGUAACGUAGCUAACGCGUGAAGUUGACCGCCUGGGGAGUACGGUCGCAAGAUUAAAACUCAAAGGAAUUGACGGGGUCAUAGCUGUUUCCU
rnacentral:rRNA from 1 species